GAGGUCCAGGGCGACAGGACAUGCUGCGCGGGACGUCGCCCAGCGGCAGGCUCCGGCUGGCGGUCUGAGGGUCCAGAGUGACGAUCCCUAGAGGGAGCAGAGCGCGACAUGCACAGAGCUGCAGGCACCGAAAAUGCCCAGGAGCAGAAAGAGCACCCGCCUGUGCAGCCUGCCGUUGGCCGGCUUCUCUGAACCUCAGUUUCCCCUUUCGGUCCAUGAGGACAUCCCUGAUGCUCAAGGUUUUGCUACUCAAUGUGCAGCCAUGGACCAAAAGCCUCCCCUUUGCCUGGGGCUUGGUGGAAAUGCAGAAUCUUGAGCCCCAUCACCGACCAUCUGAGCCAGAAUCUGUGUUUUCAAAAGAUGCCCAGCUGAGUUUUCUGCACAUUAAGCUUGAGAAGGAGAAGGAGGUGAUGCUUGUAUGAAGAAACUGGGACAAAGUGGUUAACCAAGGAGCAAGAUCUGGAACAGCCGGGGCGGCAGGCUCCCGAGCUCCUGUUUGCUGCCUUGGCUGAGUGGAUGAAUGAGAAACCGCUCCCGAAGCCCCCGGCUGUUUACCUGAAUCUGUUUCCAGGUGGCACACCAAGU